UACGAAGGGAGCAAGCGUUGUUCGGAAUAACUGGGCGUAAAGGGCGUGUAGGCGGUUUUAUAAGUUUGUUGUGAAAUUCUUGGGCUUAACCUAAGAACUGCAAUGGAUACUGUAAGACUAGAGUCUGGAAGGGGAGAACGGAAUUGUGUGUGGAGAGGUGAAAUUCGUAGAUAUACACAGGAACACCGGCGGUGAAGACGGUUCUCUGGUACAUGACUGACGCUAAUGCGCGAAAGCGUGGGGAGCAAACAGG
rnacentral:rRNA from 1 species